rnacentral:rRNA from 1 species
UACGUAGGGUGCAAGCGUUGUCCGGAAUUAUUGGGCGUAAAGAGCUCGUAGGCGGUCUGUCGCGUCGGCUGUGAAAACCCGGAGCUCAACUCCGGGCCUGCAGUCGAUACGGGCAGACGUGGAGUUCGGCAGGGGAGACUGGAAUUCCUGGUGUAGCGGUGAAAUGCGCAGAUAUCAGGAGGAACACCGGUGGCGAAGGCGGGUCUCUGGGCCGUAACUGACGCUGAGGAGCGAAAGCGUGGGGAGCAAACAGG